AGUGAACGCUGGCGGUAGGCCUAACACAUGCAAGUCGAACGGCAGCACAGUAAGAGCUUGCUCUUACGGGUGGCGAGUGGCGGACGGGUGAAGAAUACAUCGGAAUCUACUUUUUCGUGGGGGAUAACGUAGGGAAACUUACGCUAAUACCGCAUACGACCUACGGGUGAAAGCAGGGGAUCUUCGGACCUUGCGCGAUUGAAUGAGCCGAUGUCGGAUUAGCUAGUUGGCGGGGUAAGGCCCACCAAGGCGACGAUCCGUAGCUGGUCUGAGAGGAUGAUCAGCCACACUGGAACUGAGACACGGUCCAGACUCCUACGGGAGGCAGCAGUGGGGAAUAUUGGACAAUGGGCGCAAGCCUGAUCCAGCCAUACCGCGUGGGUGAAGAAGGCCUUCGGGUUGUAAAGCCCUUUUGUUGGGAAAGAAAAGCAGCAGGUUAAUACCCCGCUGUUCUGACGGUACCCAAAGAAUAAGCACCGGCUAACUUCGUG
rnacentral:rRNA from 1 species